rnacentral:rRNA from 1 species
UCGGGAAUUUUGGGCAAUGGGCGAAAGCCUGACCCAGCAACGCCGCGUGAAGGAUGAAGUCUCUCGGGAUGUAAACUUCGUAAGAAUAGGAAGAAUAAAUGACGGUACUAUUUGUAAGGUCCGGCUAACUACGUGCCAGCAGCCGCGGUAAUACGUAGGGACCAAGCGUUGUUCGGAUUUACUGGGCGUAAAGCGCACGUAGGCGGGUUUGUAAGUAGGGGGUGAAAUCCCAGGGCUCAACCCUGGAACUGCCUUCUAAACUGCAAGCCUGGAGGUCAGGAGAGGCGAGUGGAAUACCGAGUGUAGAGGUGAAAUUCGUAGAUAUUCGGUGGAACACCAGUGGCGAAGGCGACUCGCUGGACUGAUACUGACGCUGAGGUGCGAAAGCGUGGGGAGCAAACAGGAUUAGAUACCCGGGUAGUCCCUGAGCGGGCUGGCAAGGCGCAU